rnacentral:misc_RNA from 1 species
GUGAAUCAUCGAAUUUUUGAACGCACAUUGCACUCUCUGGUAUUCCGGAGAGUAUGCCUGUUUGAGGGUCAGUAUAAAUCACAAUCAGUGUGGUUGCUGCCUUUCGUGGUGACGUACCGGAUUUGGAUCGUCUUGCUUUCAGUUAAGUGACCUAAAAUUUUUCUUGAUCUUUUCGAAGUUAUUUUAGUUA